CACUCCCUAGGGGGGCAGCAGUGAGGAAUAUUGGUCAAUGGGCGCGAGCCUGAACCAGCCAAGUCGCGUGAGGGAGGACGGCCCUACGGGUUGUAAACCUCUUUUGCCGGGGAGCAACGGGCGUCACGUGUGGCGCCACUGAGAGUACCCGGAGAAAAAGCAUCGGCUAACUCCGUGCCAGCAGCCGCGGUAAUACGGAGGAUGCGAGCGUUAUCCGGAUUUAUUGGGUUUAAAGGGUGCGCAGGCGGAGGUGCAAGUCAGCGGUCAAAUUGCGGGGCUCAACCC
rnacentral:rRNA from 1 species